rnacentral:rRNA from 1 species
UACGAAGGGGGCUAGCGUUGCUCGGAAUUACUGGGCGUAAAGGGAGCGUAGGCGGAUAGUUUAGUCAGAGGUGAAAGCCCAGGGCUCAACCCUGGAAUUGCCUUUGAUACUGGCUAUCUUGAGUAUGGGAGAGGUUAGCGGAACUCCGAGUGUAGAGGUGAAAUUCGUAGAUAUUCGGAAGAACACCAGCGGCGAAGGCGGCUCACUGGCCCGGUACUGACGCUGAGGUGCGAAAGCGUGGGGAGCAAACAGG